GAAAUUUCUCUCAGCCUCAUCCCUAAACCUAAUUUCUCUCAGCCUCUGCCUCUCUUUCUUACCCUCAUCUUCUACACAACCACGUUCUUCUCCUCCACUCACUCUCGUCUACAUAACCACGUUUCUACACUAAUUUCUGGUUUCGUCUUGUCUAUCUCUGCCUCAAGCGAGUCGCUAGAGCACACGACGUCGGUGCGAGCUUCCGGAGGACACAACGGCGGUGGGUUUUCUGGUUCGCUCUCUCUCCUCUCCUCUCUCACCGAUCCGCCCUCCAAACGACGCUGCCACCUCUAUGACGCCGACGCAAACGCCGGUACCCGCGAACUACACCUCUACGACGCCAACGUCGCUAUGAAGAAAAAAUCAGUUUGAUUUUAAGGUAUAUCUACUUGAUGAGUCGAUGGCAAAGUUGCAUUUAUUUCUUGGUCGACAACUAGGGAAUAUCUCAGGAAUGCCUCUAUUGUUAAGGUAUUUCUGAAUUUUGGGGACUUGAGAUGGGGCAAUGUCUUUAUUUGGUUCAUACCUGGAUUCUGAAACUGGGGUGCUUCACUUUAUUCAGGUGAUCAUCAUCCUGAUGCACUUCGCCAGCUAGAUCAGCAUUUGAAAACAUAAAAGAAAUGAGAUUGAAUCUUUAGUGAAGCUGAAGGAGGUGUUUCAUAAUUGUAAAGAUACAGAAAAUGAUAUUGUGUUGGAGAUACAAAGGUUAAUUUAUUCCACUAUUU